CCACACAUCCCUACCUCAUCAUCCUUCUCGGCCUGUGACUCUUGGACUUCUGUUGGUGUACCCCCCCGUGCCCCUAUGCCCACCUGCGUUGGCACGGCCACCUGCUGCGUCCUCUCGUACAGCUGGAAGACAUAGGUACUCCCUUAUCCAUUGGAGCACCCUACCACUUACUCCAGCUUGUGUCUCCAACUUAUGCAACAGUCUCCUAUUGGGUACUACUUGGCCUAAUAUGCAAUCUGGGCCAAGAAGCAGACAUUGCAACUCACAGGUUCGGUGCCGACCACCCGGUACCCCUGGUAAGGAUGUUUCUGGGCAUGUCUGGUCCUCAGUCGUUUCACUGCUAAGGCGGACACCACCAGCAUCGCCACGAU